CGAUCUCAGCUGGCACUAAACAUCGGCUGCAGACGGCAGACAACCUGAGACAUAUCAUGUGCAGCUGGAAACGCCACGUGAUAUCGUUUUCACAAUACUAACCAACAUAUAGAGCACUGUCUUGAUAUAGACAUGACUCACCUACACCAUCAUUCCAGCGUGCAAUGUACACAAUACUCCAUUAACUCUUGAACAGAUAAUCAACAAGAACCUACCACCAGCCGAAAAUAUAAGCCAGCAAUCCCAAGAGAAAUGCUGCGGCUUGGAGAGCGCCAUGAGAAAGAAUGAUCCCAGUGGUGCCAUCUCUGCAAUAGUGGAUGGACUCUAUUGUAUGAAACAUUUGGAGGACAUCGAAGCGGGAGGCAUCUUUAAAUUCCGAUUUGCGCCAAACUGUGUGCCCAACACGAGAAGGUAUGGUGAUAGUAAAGCGAGUUGGUAUUCGUAUAUACUCUAGCAUUGUUUCAGCUGAAUAUAACGGUUAUUUUUUACAUAAUUAGGUCUGUGCGCAGCAUACGGCCUACAAUGACAUCCAAUCAUGCAACAUGGUCACACGUGU